rnacentral:tRNA from 1 species
AGGGGAAUAACUCAGUGGUAGAGUGUAUUCUUGGCAUUCAAAACGGUCCUGGGUUCAAUCCCUAGUACCUCCA